rnacentral:rRNA from 1 species
UACGUAGGGUGCGAGCGCUAAUCGGAAUUACUGGGCGUAACGCGUGCGCAGGCGGUUUUGUAAGCCAGAUGUGAAAGCCCCGGGCUCAACCUGGGAAUGGCAUUUGGGACUGCAAGGCUUGAGUGCGGCAGAGGAGACUGGAAUUCCUGGUGUAGCAGUGAAAUGCGUAGAUAUCAGGAGGAAUACCGAUGGCGAAGGCAGGUCUCUGGGCUGACACUGACGCUCAUGCACGAAAGCGUGGGGAGCAAACAGG